AUUCAAUAAGCGGAGGAAAAGAAACCAACAGGGAUUGCCCUAGUAACGGCGAGUGAAGCGGCAACAGCUCAAAUUUGAAAUCUGGCCUCACGGUCCGAAUUGUAAUUUGUAGAGGAUGUUUCUGGCGACGUGUCUUCCGAGUUCCCUGGAACGGGACGCCAUAGAGGGUGAGAGCCCCGUCCGGUCGUACACCUAGCCUCUGUGAAACUCCUUCGACGAGUCGAGUAGUUUGGGAAUGCUGCUCUAAAUGGGAGGUAUACGUCUUCUAAAGCUAAAUACCGGCCAGAGACCGAUAGCGCACAAGUAGAGUGAUCGAAAGAUGAAAAGCACUUUGAAAAGAGGGUUAAAUAGUACGUGAAAUUGCUGAAAGGGAAGCGCUUAUGACCAGACUUGGGCUCGGUGAAUCAUCCGGCGUUCUCGCCGGUGCACUUUGCCGUCCCAGGCCAGCAUCAGUUCGCGCCGGGGGAUAAAGGUUUCGGGAAUGUAGCUCCCUCGGGAGUGUUAUAGCCCGUUGCGUAAUACCCUGGCGUGGACUGAGGUCCGCGCUCUGCAAGGAUGCUGGCGUAAUGGUCAUCAGUGACCCGUCUUGAAACACGGACCAAGGAGUCGUCUUCGUAUGCGAGUGUUCGGGUGUCAAACCCCUACGCGUAAUGAAAGUGAACGUAGGAGAGAGCUUCGGCGCAUCUCCGACCGAUCCUGAUGUUCUCGGAUGGAUUUGAGUAAGAGCAUACGGGGCCGGACCCGAAAGAAGGUGAACUAUGCCUGUAUAGGGUGAAGCCAGAGGAAACUCUGGUGGAGGCUCGCAGCGGUUCUGACGUGCAAAUCGAUCGUCAAAUAUGGGCAUGGGGGCGAAAGACUAAUCGAACCUUCUAGUAGCUGGUUUCCGCCGAAGUUUCCCUCAGGAUAGCAGUGUUGAACUCAGUUUUAUGAGGUAAAGCGAAUGAUUAGGGACCCGGGGGCGCUUUUUAGCCUUCAUCCAUUCUCAAACUUUAAAUAUGUAAGAAGCCCUUGUUGCUUAGUUGAACGUGGGCAUUCGAAUGUAUCAACACUAGUGGGCCAUUUUUGGUAAGCAGAACUGGCGAUGCGGGAUGAACCGAACGCGAGGUUAAGGUGCCAGAGUAGACGCUCAUCAGACACCACAAAAGGUGUUAGUACAUUUUGACAUUUGGACGGUGGCCAUGGAAGUCGGAAUCCGCUAAGGACUGUGUAACAACUCACCAAACGAAUGUACUAGCCCUGAAAAUGGAUGGCGCUCAAGCGUCUCACCCAUACCUCGCCCUCAGGGUAGAAACGAUGCCCUGAGGAGUAGGCGGACGUGGAGGUCAGUGACGAAGCCUAGGGCGUGAGCCCGGGUUGAACGGCCUCU
rnacentral:rRNA from 1 species